rnacentral:lncRNA from 1 species
UCUGAAAACGCAUCACAUGGUAUAGCUGACUUAUAUAAAUCCUGAAACCAAAUUUCAGAAAUCCUUGUAUUGUAGUUCCUGAGAAAAAUGUGACGAAAAUUUUCAACUUGGCUAUCAUGUGUAAAAUCAUACAAGUGUUCGGUAAACAGGAAGUUGUCGAGUGAUGAAUCUGAAAACGCAUCACACGGUAUAGCUGACUAAUAUAAAUCCUGAAACCAAAUUUCAGAAAUCCUUGUAUUGUAGUUCCUGAGAAAAAUGUGACGAAAAUUUUCAACUUGGCUAUCAUGUGUAAAAUCAGACAAGUGUUCGGUAAACAGGAAGUUGUCAAGUGAUGAAUCUGAAAACGCAUCACACGAUGUGGCUGACAUAUAUAAAUGUUGAUACCAAAUUACAGAAAGGGUGGAUGUGUAGUUCCUGAGAAAAAUGUGACGAAAGUUUCAUGGGACGGACUGACUGACUGACGGACGGACUGACGGACGGACUGAUGGACGGACGGACGGACGGACUGACAGACAGAGGUAAAACAGUUUACCCCCCUUUUUUAAAGCGG